GACGAACGCUGGCGGCGUGCUUAACACAUGCAAGUCGAACGGAAAGGCCCCUUUGGGGGUACUCGCUUGGCGAACGGACGAGUAACACGUGAGUAACCUGCCCUUGCCUUCGGGAUAACUAACGGCAACUGGGGCUAAUACAGGCUAGGUAUCCUUUCUGCAUGGUGGGGGGUGGAAAGCAUCGGCGGGUUUGGGUGGACUCGCGGCUUGUCUGCUUGUUGGUGGGGUAGUGGGUUACCAAGGCUUUGACGGGUAGCCGGCCUGGGAGGGCGAGCGGCCAAAAUGGGACUGGGAAACGGCCCAGACUCCUAAGGGGGGCAGCAGUGGGGAAUAUUGCACAAAGGGCGGGAGGCUGAUGGAGCAACGGCGCGGGCGGGAAGACCGCCUUCGGGUUGGAAACCGCUUUCAGCAGGUGAGAAGCUUGUGGUGACGGUACCUGCAGAAGAAGCACCGGCUAACUACGUG
rnacentral:rRNA from 1 species